UUGGUGCAUGCAGAGGUUGAUAUAAUUCUGAUAUAAUUUUUCCAUUUUGAAGGACAUGACACGCAAAUUUCUACCAUCUUUAGGCCAUUUGUGAACCAAAAAUAGAGAUGGCUCCAUUCUGACAUAGCCGUAUUAAUGCAUUAACCAGCACAUGAGCACUGAGGAGAAAAACAACACCUAUAUCCCAGACUCAUGUGUUUGAUAGAACAGCUCUUAUGAUAAAAAUCUCAACAUAUACAUUGCCCACCAGCAAGCCUGCUAGUCAACAGGCUAUUGCUAGAUAACAUUUAGCAACAAAGCCCUCAGCAAGGCCUGACUGAGAGCACAUGGAUAAUAAAGAAAAACCCUCUAGCUAAAUGUUGCAUAUAACACAACUACUUGCAUGGUUUAUUCCACUGCACACUUGAGUGUCACAUUUGUAAACUCACCCCCAGCCAUUUAAGUGGGUGCUUCAUGGGAAUACACAGUCCCUCAGCCACCGAGACUGCACCAUUCCAACACUUGAAAAUAACAACCAUGUCCUAAAUGGUGCCCUACUCCAUAUUUCCCUAUUAAUAUAACCUAAAAUUGGACCCUCCUUAAUUAGUGCACUACAUAGUGAAUGGGGUGUGAUUUCAGACACCCUCUCAGUCUUGUGAGAAUGAAUCUUAUUAGUAUAUGUUAUGGUGUUUCUUAAAAUGGCUGACGUCCUAGAGAGAACUAAGUAGAUGUGAAUUCUAGCGUUUAGGAAGCCUUGGACUGAACCUUCUGAGUAUCUAAUACAUGGUUUCACUUGGUUCUGGAUACAGCAAGUCAGGAGAAAUCAUACAAAUCAUUAGCAAGUGGAAACUACAGUCCCAUGUUUUGGAUGAAAACCUACUUAACUUGGUAAAAAGUGUGUUUCACCAGACCUUCUGCUGAUCCUGAAUAGACGGACACUUAUCCAGCCUAAUUAAUCAAAUUAACAAAUUCAUCUGUAAAAUGUGUCCCUGUCGAUGGCUAGACUACAUCCUAGCUGAUGUACGUAGUGCAGCAGGCAGCGGGAUUCAGAAGUUUGUUACAGCAUGGAGCAUUGACAAGUGGCAGCAGGAGACCUAGCCUGAGGAUGAAAACCCUGUGUGACGCACAAAGAGACCAGGGCGUUCUACUACGAAGAAAAAAAUGGACAUAUUAUAUGCGCUAUUAAAAUGAAAUUCUAUAGAAUAUUCCUCUGAUGUGGUAUUUCUAUAUCUUCUAUACAAUAACACUAAAAAGACAUUAAGAAUAUAAUAUGAAAUAUAAGAAUAUAAAGAAUUUGUACACCAGACAUAACUUCUUAAGAACAGCUAAAAACAUUACUAUUACUGAAAUGGUCUUUUUCCCCAGAGGUUCAUGUGCAAUUUUCUAAACACAAUCAGUUCCUUUCACCUUGAUAUAAUUAAACCUAUUUAGCAAACUGCACAGGUUAAGUACAUUCCACCACACACACACACACACACACACACACACACACACACACACACACACACACACACACACACACUCAUGCACAACAGAUUUCCACUGUAUAAGGUGCAUUUUAAACCAUCGCACUGGGACACUGGGUGUGAGAAAACACACACUAAGUGCCACUAAGAGCAAGCGGAGGUGUUGCAGGAAGAGUGGGAGGGUGAGUGGGGAACAGGUGAGCAUGUUACGUUAUCAAAAUUACACGUCUGGUAUUACCAUUAAUUAAUCGAGACACACAGGUGAAAUGGGAAAGAGGGAAGCGGGGGGCAUCAGAGUGGGCUUAUAAAUGCAUUAGAAAAGCAAGAUGUCAGACUAACAUCAACACACUGAUCUGUUCCCCUUCAGCCAGAUGGGGAAAGAAAAAGAGUCACCGUCAGAGCCAUCCAUCAACUAAAGACAAUCACUGCUUGGAGGUAAAAUUCACUUAAAGAGGAAAAUGUUUGGUUUGAAGCAAAAUUCCAGCAACUAACCAUUAGAACUUAUGAUUUGCCGUGUUAGUGCACGAUACAAAUCAUAUUACUGAUUAAAGGUAGGUCUUAAUAAUAAAAAAAUAAAUAAAUAAAUAAUAAUAAUAAUAAAUAGCAACAUGUGAUCGCCAUCAACUGGUGACAAAUCUAGGAAUCUCAUCCAUUGUUAAUGCAUCUUCAAAAUCGCAGGCACUUAAGAAACCCAACAAGCUCGGACUCACUGCAAACCUCACUCU